GAGGAAUAUUGGUCAGUGGACGAGAGUCUGAACCAGCCAAAUCGCGUGAAGGAAGACUGCCCUACGGGUUGUAAACUUCUUUUGUACAGGAAUAAAAGACAUUACGUGUAAUGUAUUGCAUGUACUGUACGAAUAAGCAUCGGCUAACUCCGUGCCAGCAGCCGCGGUAAUACGGAGGAUGCGAGCGUUAUCCGGAUUUAUUGGGUUUAAAGGGUGCGUAGGCGGGAUUUUAAGUCAGCGGUGAAAUUUUCAGGCUCAACCUGAACGCUGCCGUUGAAACUGGGAUUCUUGAGUAUGGAUGAAGUAGGCGGAAUUCGUUGUGUAGCGGUGACAUGCUUAGAUAUAACGAGGAACUCCGAUUGCGUAGGCAGCUUACUAAGCCAUAACUGACGCUCAAGCACGAAAGCGUGGGGAUCAAAC
rnacentral:rRNA from 1 species